rnacentral:lncRNA from 1 species
AUGGUAUAUAUAUGGGAUAAUAAAAUGACAAGAGAAGAAAUAAAAAGGUGCGUUUAUAAUUUUUGUAUUAAUUUGGUAAAAGAAGAAUUUUAUGUAGUAAAUUUAGAAAAAAUAGAAGAAUCAGAUUUAUUUAAGGAUUGUAAAAAAAAAAUAGAAAGAAUUACAUUGGAAAAUGGAAAUAAUAUUUUAUUUUAUAAAUUAUGUAAAAUAUAUGAAUAUAAUAAUUUAGGUGAAAUAAACAACAAUAGUGAAUAUAUAAUAAAAAAAAAAAAAAAUAUAAUUUUCGAAAAAAUGAAACAUCCUUUGAAAUAUAUGGAAGUAUUAAAAUCUAUUGAAUUUACAAAAAUUGGUGGUUAUUUACUAAAAUAUACUGCAUUACAUAUACCACAUUUAAGAUACUUUUUUAUCAGUAAAAAUUUGAAUUUUAUUAAAUGGUUUUCAUCUAGAAAAACAGAAGAAAAUUGUAAAAUUUAUUUUAAAAAUAUUAAUAGUUUAGAAAUUGAAAAAAUUGAUGAUCAUAUUUUUGAAAAUUAUAAAAACACUUUUUUAAAAAAAUUAUCCUUUUGCAUAACAUAUGAUAAUAAUAAAAAAAAAAUUAUAUUAACUUGUAAAUGUUAUCAAGAAUUUGUAUAUUGGGUUAUAACUAUCAGAGCUUUAAUGUAUAACUCUCGUAAAAUGAAAAUAUCAAAACAAAAUUUAUUAUCAAAUUUGAGAUUUGAUUAUUGGGAGGAUUCAACCAAAGCGACAACGGAAUGGUUAAGUUCAAAAAGUCUACAAAGUGAAACAGACGAAGUGGAAAAAACAGACGAAGUGGGAAAAACAGACGAAGUGGGAAAAACAGACGNNNNNNNNNNAAAAACAGACGAAGUGGGAAAAACAGACGAAGUGGGAAAAACAGACGAAGUGGGAAAAACAAACCAGUGUGAAGAACUUUCCAAAAACCAAUCCCUUAUUUACUCAUCGUAUCAACAGUGUUUAAAAGAGUUGACCAGUCAACAUAAUUACGCAUCUUUCAUAAAAGAGAAUGAAAAAAACCACAAUGAUGUCUUGAAUAGACACUUAAGCGAGUACAACAUGUACAACAAGUACAACAAGUACAACAAGUACAACAAGUACAACACGUACAACACGUACAACACGUACAAUAUUGAAUAUAAACAAACAAAUAAAACAACUAAAACAAAUAAAACAACUAACACAAAUAACACAAAUAAAACAAAUAACACAAAUAACACAAAUAACACAAAUAAAAUAAAUAAAACAUUUACAAUUAAAAAUCAAAAACAGGAAAAACAAGAAAAACAGUUUAAAAAGUUACAAAAGUUCCAUCUUUAUAAACUGAUACCAUUUGAAGACCAUAAUAUAUAUGAAGUAAAAGCAAAAUUUUUUAUAAUAAAAAAAAAAUUUUAUAAUUCCAAAAUAUUAAUUGAACAAGAGAUAGAUAAUUAUUAUUCUAAUAACAUUAUGAAUAAAGAUAUAUUUUAUGAUGAAUUAGAAAUAAAAGAAAAAAUAUUUGAAAAACAGUUGCAACCGUUACAACAUUCAGAAAUGUUAGAUCAACAGAGUAAUACUACAAAAAACUGUACUGAUAGUAAUAAUUCUUUUAAUGACAAUUUUUAUAUUUAUGAAAAAAAACAGUUGCAUGAAAACGGUUUAUACAACUCCUCUUUUUUAAACAAAAAAAAAAAAAAUAAUAAUAACGACAUGUACAAAGAAAGUGUUAAAUACGAACAAGAAAGUGACACAUAUUCAAUAAAAGAUUAUAAUACAGAUUGUAACAUAAAAAAUAGUAAUAUAACUGUAAGUAGUAAAAAUAAAAACAAACACAAACACAUUAUUCAUUUAUUACAUAAAAAAGAAUAUGUAGCUAGUCCUACCGAUAUUCAUACAAACUUUCCUAUAAAUAAUAACAUGGAUAACUAUACUGAUAGAAUAAGUUACAAUAAGAUAGAAGCAUUUACUUACAACCACAUGUACAAAUUAGAUACGAAUAUAGUAGAAGAAAAUACACAAUUAUUUAAGUUGCAAUUUAUGAUCAAAUUAUUUAAUAAAAUAAAUUAUAAAUUACAAAUUAUACAAAAAAAAAUUGUACAUGCUGUUAAAUUAAUAAAAAUACAAGAACAUCUGAAUAAAAAUAAAGAUUUACAGCUAAACAAUAAUAAAGAUUUACAGCUGAACAGUAAUAAUAAAAUGUUAAAAAAUGAAAUAUUAUCAUUUAAUAGUGUAUUAAAUAUGGCAACUAAUAUGUAUAAAAAUGUCGAAUACAAAUUAACAGAAAAAUUAGGUACUUUUAUUAAAAAUUUACCAAACAAAAAUCAAACAAAAAGUGAUAACUAUGACAGUUGCAACUGUAGCAGUGGUAAAUGUAAUAGUAGCAAUUGUCACGAUUGGAACUAUAAUAAUAACAGUUGUGGAUGCAAUCAAAAACAUAAUUACAGUCAAAAACAGCACUACAAUAUAAAUUUAUCGUAUGAAAAAAACUACCAAAAUAAUAAUAUAGUAUAUACAACCCAACCCAAACUAGAAUCAACGAAACACAAUACUAGCGCUAGAAUAUUUAUGAACAUACAUAAUAAUUGUACCGAUAAUAGUGAUAAUGAUUCUUAUCUUAACCUAACUGACACACACACACACCUAAACAACAUCAAUAAAAAAACUAGUGAUAAAAUCAAUGAUAAAAACAUUCAUAAACUUAUAAAAAACAUUUUAUUUGAUAUGUGGUUGUGUGAUUUAGAAUUUGAAAGCAUACAUGAAAUUUAUACUAUUUAUAUGAAUAAUAUGAAUAAACAAAAUACUAUAUUUGACAAUUUUAAUGCAUUACAAUUUGUUAAAAAUGUAACAAGACAGGUAUCCACUUCCAUUUCGAAGUAUAUAAGUAUUUAA